GCCGGAGGCCGCAGAAAAAAGCUCAACUCGAUAUGCAGCAGAAGAGUAAACAACUGCAACCUGUCCUGUUCCGCUCCAGUGGGGCUGCUUCCUCCCAUAAUGAGAUCGCCGUGUGCCCCAUCAGGGCCGGCCGCCUCGUCCCCCAUUUCCAGGCUAACGAGGGUGAGAUGUCGUGACUGCCAGAGCCCCCCGAAAAACAAGUAAGCUUCAUAGAGAACAAGAUACCAGCGAGUGUCAGAGAAGAUCACCCAACCCAACAACCCAACAACAACCAACAACCAACAACCCAACAACCCAACAACCCAACAACUCCAAC